UCCCUGGUGGCUCAGAAUGUGUAGCAUCUGCCUGCAAUGCAGGAGAUCCCGGUUCGAUCCCUGGCUCAGGAA
rnacentral:tRNA from 1 species